GACGAACGCUGGCGGCGUGCUUAACACAUGCAAGUCGAACGGAAAGGCCCUGCUUGCAGGGUGCUCGAGUGGCGAACGGGUGAGUAACACGUGGGUGAUCUGCCCCUUACUUUGGGAUAAGCCUGGGAAACUGGGUCUAAUACUGGAUAGGACCAUGCUGUAGGUGGUGUGGUGGAAAGAUUAGUUUCGGUAAGGGAUGAGCUCGCGGCCUAUCAGCUUGUUGGUGGGGUAAUGGCCUACCAAGGCGUCGACGGGUAGCCGGCCUGAGGGGGUGGACGGCGACAUUGGGACUGAGAUACGGCCCAGACUCCUACGGGAGGCAGCAGUGGGGAAUAUUGCACAAUGGGCGCAAGCCGGAUGCAGCGACGCCGCGUGGGGGAUGACGGCCUUCGGGUUGUAAACUCCUUUCAGCCAUGACGAAGCCCUUGUGGUGACGGUAGUGGUAGAAGAAGCACCGGCUAACUACGUG
rnacentral:rRNA from 1 species